GCGGUGACCGCCGGCUGGUGCGCUGCCCUCGCCUCCCCCAUUGUUCCUACUGUCUUUUUGCCUUUUGUUAUUUGCACUCGCAUUGUGUUGUUUGUCUCCGAAGCCGCCUCAUGACCAGCAAAGGGAUUUCACCUCGUCCUUGAGAGCGACACGGGGAGCGAGCGAGCGAGCGAGCGGGCAGGCGAGAGGGACACGCGCGCGCACACACACACACCGGCACACACGCGCACACACAGACACACACACACACACACACACACACACACAGAGUGGAAAAGGCGAGCCACCAAAACCCAUCUCCAGUCUCCUCCCGGGGGCCCCCAGCCCGCCACCGUGCCACUUUGCAUGCCACGCCGGAGGAGACGUUAACGAGACCGGCGCCUGCUCACAAGAUAUUGGUUGCUUUAAAUUUCUUGGAAGGAAGGGGAUAAAUACAUUUCAGGUAGCAUUAUUAUUACUUUUCAUUAUAGAUAAAAUUAAGAGGUAGCUGGAUUUGGAGCUAGUGUAUAGAAGUCUUAAUAAGGAUAUGGUAAUCAUGGUUGGGAAACCUAAUCACAUAAUCUUAAAUAUAGUUCAUAAGUUCAAAGGCAGAAACCUUGUUAUGUUAGAGAGUGCUGUUUUGAAAAAUAAUAAAAAUUAAGAUUCUUUUUUUUAUACAUGUACAAAUUAUUUUUCCAUUAUUGAGUAAAGAGCAUAUAUUGUCUCUCAAAAAAAUAUUAUGCCUUGAAAUCCUCAGGUAACUUCAUCCAUACUUGUUCUUAAUGUUUUUAUACAUAUUUGCAUAUUGAUCUUAAUAGUAAUUUAAUAUAUUUAAUAGUAAUUUAAAAUAAAUAAUGUUGAAUUUGACUAAUCUUGACUAUUAUUCAUUCAAAAAAGUUUAUUAAGGGUUCAUUCUUUGUCUCAUAUGAGCUGAGUAAUGGAGUUACUGUGCUGAGCAAAAGAGAUUUGGUCCCUACCCUUUUCGGAGACAAUCUAGUGAAAAAUAUGGAGGGUGUUCAGCUAACCAUGCCAACAAAAACGGAGACCAGAGAGACAUUCUAUUUCCCAGUGUCAUUUUGAUUGGUAACUGGACUGCAGAUUUUUAAAAAAAAAAUCACUAAAGCAUAGAAUCUUAAAUGCUAUCUAUAUUAAAUAUUUUGUGAUUUUUAACAUAUAUGCUUAUUAAUGUAUCGAUGUUGCACUGUUUUAUCAGUUUUUGUUAAUUUGUCAAGUAAUUGAUGUAUAGUCCUGACUUUUAAGUAUGAGUCUCUUAAGUGACAGUCCUUAUUCUCUUGGGGAAGCCACACCUAUAAUAUACAUUGGAUGGUUUUUAUUUUUGAUUUGUUAAAAAUGGCAGUAGAGCUUAAAGGCAUUUGGCGAGCAAUCUAAGUGCAGAAUUUGCUAGGAUUUUUAAAUUUUUUUUUAUUCCAAUUUUGUGAAGUUAUUCGACGUCUAACUUAGUGGUUUUUUUAAAAACAAUCUGUGUUUAUUCUUUCCAAAGCGUUCAAAUUAGGGUCACUAAAAUAUCCAUUUUUGCCUUCGUAUUUCAUUAGUUAUGUAAUAUUUAGUUAAUCUACACAGUUAUAAUAACAAAUGACAUGAACAGACUUGGGACGAAGCAGACAAUUAAAGUGGGGAGAAUGGGAAUGUGUGGGUUGCUAGAGGAACCUUUUUGCCACCAGGGUGCCACCCAGGCCAACAGUGUGUUUCACAGGGCAUGGGGACAUCAGUUUCUCUGGUGACUUAGAGAACGUAGGCUGGCUGAGAUCGUCGUACUGUAAAUACGUAUAGUGACAAGUGCUAUAGAGUGUGUUAUGGAGGAAGAGUACAGGCGAGCCGGGAGGAGGUAUAGGGUUAGCCUGAUUUACUCUGGAAGUCCCAGAAGGCUUUCACGAGGAAGACACAUUUGGGCUGUGGGAUGAAGAGAACCAAGGGCUAAGUAGUUGAAGAAGGUGCGGGUAACCUGGGCUAGAGGAAAGCAUGUUCAAGUCUUGAAAUGUUAAAGAACUAAGAGAGCAGUGUGGCAGGGGCAAUGGUAUGAAGGGUGACGUUGGAGAGGCAGGAGUCAUCUCAUGUAGGGUCUUGUAGGUCCUGCUGGGGUUUGGGUUUUUUUUUUUUUUUUAUCAUAAAAACAAUGGUGAGUAAUUAAAGGAUUCCGAUUUUCGAUUUUGGAAAAUGGGAUGGAGGGAACAUCAGAUAGGUAGUGAUUAGGGUAUUCUAUGUAAGAAAUGUUCUUAUCCUGAAAACUAUUCAUUCUAACACUUUUUGGGGGCUGCAUCCUGCUACGUGACUAAAUGGGUGUUUGGAAUACUUGAGGAAAAGCAGAACCUAAAUUUAUCAUAGUUUAAAUCUUUUAUCACCCAGAAAGACCUGGAACAGUAUUUUCUAUACUAUACUCUUUCUUACCAUUCUCUCUUUUUAUAGUUGUAUUUAUGUUCACCAUUUCAGAACAUUAUGUUCUCAAAACAAUGGGGGAAAAAAAGGAAAAGUCAUUCUUUUAAGCUUGUACCAUGCUAUUGACUUUCUUUGAAAGGACAAGUGUGUUUAUUUUAUCACAAUGAGUCUAAAAAUUAACCAUGAAGCAUCCUUCUAUACUUAUCAACUACAUGUAACAAAGAAAUGCUUUAUUGUGAUUUCAUCAAUAAUUCAAAUGCAACUUAAAGGAAAGUAGGGCAGCAAAAGGAAAAAAGCACAUUUGUUCCAUAAUUGAGUCGAUUAAAUAGUAUUGAGUCCCAUUGUCAUGGUCAUAUUGAUGAAACAACUUUUAUAACUAUGAAGAAUCUAAUAAGAAAUAAGACCUCAGAAUUAUGAGGCAGUGUCAGAGACAUUUUUUCAUUUUUUUCUAUUGUAAAAUACAAAUAGUGAAAGCAACCUUUUACGAGUGUGCAAUAAUAAAGGAACAGCUUUUGAAAGGUGCUUUCAUCGGGAUAUUACCAGUUUUUCAAGGCUGUGCAGUAAUAGCCCAGGCUAUUUUGGAACUGUGCAUACAUUAGUUUUCUCGUGCAGUGUGAUACAAUAAUGUGUGAAAAAGUGUACGAUCGCACCUUGUUUAAAUUUGCAGUUUUUGUGCAUAAUGCCACAGUGAGCUCUUGUCAGGUUUUGACGGUAUAUAGGAGAAAAAAGUUUAUAGAAGCCUACAGAUUGGGGUUGGUUGUAAAUAUCUGACUAUAAAAAUAAGGUUUUUUUUAAAAAAAAUUGCAUGUCACUUUUCUGAAAGAUCAAAAGAGUUAUGUUAAGUUUGUAUUAUAUGUAAUAUUUUGCAAAUCAACUUAUGGUUAGCUUCCACCCACUGGAAGCUUCAGAAUGCACAUAUGUAGCCAUCUAAAUGAAAACAUAUAUCUGCUCUGUUUAAUGUUUGCAGGGUGUGACUGAAGAGUACAGAGUUUGAUUUUUGAAAACAAUGAUUGCACUGUAAUUUAUGCCUUCAUAUUAAUGUUGUUUUUUUUUUUAAAUUGUCACCCAGAGAAGCAAAACUCUUAUUCCAAUGAUGCCCUUGUCCAAAACAUUUUGGAAGACUUCCUCUUUCAGAAUUGCCCUUUGAAUCAUUUGCAAGCCUGACUAACACAUCCGUCUCAUUACUUUCUAAUCACAUUUUAUACCAAGAUUCAUCAUUCUUUUUUUUUUUAAUUCACCAGAAUUGGCUAUAAAUGUCACCCUGAAAUGAUGAAAAUGGCUCAAAUUGACUUUCAAAUUAUGAAAUUUGUCACCACUGAGGAUAUUUAGAAGUGUGUGUGCAUGCAUGUGCUGUGUACAGACUCAGAAAGCAGUUUCAAAAGGGGGUAAAAAACACUGUGAGUACUGGCUGAUUUUUAAGUGAGUGGUGUUCUAAGGUGAUCACUAAGAAGAAAAAAUACAUUUGGACUUAGAUGACAGUGUAUGUUUAUUUAAAAAACAGUUACAAUAUUUUUUAAUGACACCAUCCAUUAGUUUUUGCAAGGUAUACAAAGAAAAAUGCAGCUAUGUCUUUUGGAAGGCAAGACCAAAAUACCUUUACAUAAUUAGUAGCCCAUUUUAUUAUUAAUAGUUACAUGUACUUGAAAUGUGAAAUAGUUGGAAUGAUUUCCAAAUAUUUUCUUAAUUUAAGAUAUCUGUGGCCAUUCAAUGUUUAUUUGUUGAAUGAUUUAUGAAUAAAUGAAGAUGAAGUAGGUCUAAAUUAAUGCACAUAGCCAGAAGGUCAAUAUUUCCUCCCACUUUGAACAUCUUUGUUGUGUUCUUUCUUAUAUAUGUAGGAAAUGAAAGAAGUGAUUACCAGAUAGACUCAGGUGAGUAGAUUUUAUUUUCUGAGUAUUGAAUUGGAAUUAGUGCUGUCUAAUGGAAGGAGAGGAAAACUUUAAGAUAGAAUCUUGCAGUGGUCAGUUUUUGUGACCCUGUACCAUCUAUGUAAUUUCUGACUUCUAGCCUAGGAUAUUAUAAUAUGGGUCAAAGGCCUAUAUUUUAAGAAUGUUGUUGGUAGCUUUUUCAAAAUUGAUAGAUAUAAGUGCAAACCAGUGUUUGAAUAUGAAGAUCUGGAACACACUUUUAUACCACUGGCUUUCAAUAAAGGUAACUCACCCAUCGAAGACAACAAAGACUUCUUGUUUAACAGGGUAUAUAAUUUGUAUAGACUAAUUUGUGUUAUGUUGAUUCUUUUAUCAUGGUUAACUACCUGUGUUAGCAUUUCUUUUUUUCUAGCUUCAUAAUACUACAUCGAUUUUCUUUUCCUGACUGCAUUUAUGCUUAACUUUUCUAAAAAUUUUAAAGUACAGAGUUUAUGCAGAAAUCAUUCCAAACUAAUAGACCACAGUUUAUAUUAAUGAAAUUGGGCACUAAUUUGUAUUUUUAAGUUUUUUUUCGUAAAGGGUGGGGAAGAGUUUUGGGGGACUAAAUAAAACUGAACAUAAGUAAAUUUAUUUUACUUAUUAAUUGCUGUGACUUUUUGACAACAAAUGUCAUAGUUGAAAUUCUAUAGAAGGAAAGUAUAAGAUUGUGAUCUUGUUCAUUUGUGAUGUGAUAACUGUUCAUUGACAAUUUCUAAAAUCCAUAAGAGAUUAGAAAACAAAGUCCCAGCAGGUUUUUUUCCUCAUUGAUAAAAAUAGAUUUAGAAAGAUUGUAUUUUAAAUGUGUCAUAGUACUACUGCUAACCAAAAGUUAAAGAGUUUUAGUCUUAUAAGAGUUAGGCUAGUAAGUAAUGUUUAUAUAAUCCUGAUAAACAUUUCCCUAAGACUGAAUUUUGAGUGGAAAACUUUGUUUCCUAAAAUGCUGUAAGUGAAAAAAGAAUUAGGGCCUGCCCUCUGAUUUUGUGGGGUGUGUGUGUGUAUGUGUGUGUGUGUGUGUGUGUAUAGAUCCAUCUUAAUACCCAAGUAAUGCCAACAUCUGGCAAAGAGAUGGAGAUCUGGGAAUUUGUUGCUUGAAACCCUGGGACAAAGUGUUCUGAUCUGACCAGCGAACAUAGCCGGGGACUUUAACUGGAAUCUUCAGGGGCAGAAACAUCUUAAGUGUCUGGAAAAUUGGCCUGUUGAGUCACCAUGAAGGCACUAAAACAAAACUAAUUUUAAGCAGGUCAAAGUUCAGCGAUUCCCUCUGGAAUUCAAACUUUUUUUUAAGAGUCUCAUGUUUAAGUGAAAAGGGUCAAAGUUGAUGCACUGUUACAAUGUUUUGAAUGCUUUCCCUUAAGAACAAGCCACCCAAGCUGGGAUUAGCAUGAGGAACUGCAAGGCUGGCACUUCAGUGUCUGGGUUAAAAAUAUUUUAAAGCAGUAAAUGCAGUCAGUACAGAGAGAUCCCUGGGAGCCUUUCUAUUCAAAAAUGUGUGAGCUCAGGGCCGAGACUGCAAUGUAAUUUAGGGCAGUGUAUGCUUCAUAGCUUUGGCGAAUAUUGCUUCCCGGUAAUGUUCCAUUGGAGGAUGGUAGGAUAGUAGUAAUUUUAGAAGGUGGUAUUCCUGUUUGUCUUACAUCGAGAACUUCAGAAUAAAUAAAAGGAAACAUCAAUCGAACAAGAAAUGUAACUGUGGAAAAGUACCAAUGAAUCUAAAUUUGAACUGAACAGAUACAAAACCAGCGUGAGCGUAGGAAUAUUUUUAAGGAGGAAGCUAUGGCAAAAGCAACUUCCCAGGGAGUGAACUGCACAGGCUUUCUGACCAGUCCAAGGUGCAGAGACAUACUUCAAGAGGAUCGUUAGAAGUCUUGGGCAAGCCCUUCCAAAUGUGGCAGGUGCUGUGCUGGCCAUUGGUAACCCAAAGAUGAUGGAAAAUAAGUUCCUGCCCACAAGGAGUUAGCAAUCCACUGGGCAUUCCUCUUACUGAUGACAUGAUUCCUGUUUGAAUCUGUCUGGAAGAUUCUGAAAGCUGAACAGAGAAUUUUGGCACCGCACUGGGUAGGAAAAAGGAUGUCUUCCAAGCGACCAGCCUCUCCGUAUGGGGAAGCAGAUGGAGAGGUAGCCAUGGUGACAAGCAGACAGAAAGUGGAAGAAGAGGAGAGUGACGGGCUCCCAGCCUUUCACCUUCCCUUGCAUGUGAGUUUUCCCAACAAACCUCACUCUGAGGAAUUUCAGCCAGUUUCUCUGCUGACGCAAGAGACUUGUGGCCAUAGGACUCCCACUUCUCAGCACAAUACAAUGGAAGUUGAUGGCAAUAAAAUUAUGUCUUCAUUUGCCCCACACAACUCAUCUACCUCACCUCAGAAGGCAGAAGAAGGUGGGCGGCAGAGUGGCGAGUCCUUGUCUAGUACGGCCCUGGGAACUCCUGAGCGGCGCAAAGGCAGUUUAGCUGAUGUUGUUGACACCUUGAAGCAGAGGAAAAUGGAAGAGCUCAUCAAGAAUGAGCCAGAAGGUAAAGGCUGGAAAAGAAAGCAAAAGUGUUGCUGUUUCCUAAUUGUCAUGUUUUGAAUUUAACUUCUGGUUCUUUUUCUCACCUUAUACUCUUAAAUUAGACAAAAUAGAAACCCAGAGCUGUGAGGAUGGAUUUUUUUUUUUUUUCAGAGACUCUUAAGCACGUCUAUCUCAAUUUUUUAAAUCAUUAGUUUAUGUUGUGAUGUUACUUUCACACACGAGUAAGUUGUGGUUAAGUGAAGCUGAAAGAUUGGAGAAGAGAAUGUGGCAGGAGAGCCCAGAAUAGUCACCUACCUGCCAAAUAUCUUCAGUCUAGUUUGUUAAUCUCCAUUAUUUUUCUCCUCGAGGAUCAUUUUAGAAUUUCAUUGCAUUUUGAAACCUUUAUACAUUAAUACAUUUGAUCCUACCUUGAUAGGUCUAUUUCUUAUAGUCCAAAAUUAAUAUGGUUUGCCCUAUUGUAUAUUUAAAAACUACUGAUUCUUUAACUGUUAGACAUGCUUAAGUUCCCAUUUGUUCAAAUUCCUGCGAGUCUUUCUUUUAAGAUUUCAUCUUCCAAAUCUCUUUAAUAGUUACUGAUAGUAGCCUGCAGGUGAUAAGCACAGGAACUAAUCUUAAAAUUAAAGCAAACAAACCAAUGAAACAGCUGAUACAAAUUGUACAAACUUAUAUAUGAUUGACAGUCAUCCUUUAUGCUACAAAUGAUGACUAACUCCUAUUUCAAAGUAUGUCCAUCCAUCUUGGAUACAAAAACAUGCCUCCUAUUUCAAUCAGAUGGAAAUUUAAAGCUAACAAACAAAACAAACACGACUUGCAAAGACAUACUUUACACCAAAAAUAUACUGCACAUACACCAUGUAACACUAAGUUUGACUCAUUUCUGGUCUAUUAAGACACUGGUAAAUUAUGAGUAUAUCUGACAUAAAAUGUAUUUUAACCAGUGUAUUUGGGAGUCAUGUGGUAAUUAAAUAUUUUUGGAUCCCUAUCAGAUGUAUAGCAAGGAUCUGGAUUUUGGUUAAAAUUUAUGCAAUUCUCAUGAUCUUAAAUUGGAAGUUAUUUUAGAGAUAAUAUUGUCAGCCAAAGACUUGAUAUUUUGUUAUCUUAUAUCCCCUCUCAUUCUCAUGGAGAUAAAAAUGGAAAUUUGAGGAGGACCCAGACAAUUUUAUUUUUCUAAUAUUGUGGUGUUUUUCCUGGAACUAAAAUAACACAGUCUUACAAUAAAAAUUGUUUUGAAAACAUAAAUUGUAAGAAAGGAAAUAAAAAUCACCUGCAGUUAUAGCCUUUUGGUAUGACUCUUAGCCUUAUGAUGUAUUUCUUUUUUUUACAUUUCUUUAUAUUUCUUUUACAUUUUUUUUACAUUUCUUCUUCAUUUUUAUACAUUUUAUAAUGUAUUUCAUUAUUUUUACAAAUUCCAUUUUGCAUGAUGGGCUUUGUCAAUGGUUCCGCUUAUGAUUUUUGAACUUUAUGCUGGUGUGAAAGCAAAAUGCAUUCAGUACAAAAUUAUAUUUUGAAUUUUGAUCAUUUCCCAGGCUAGCAAUAUGCAGUAGGGUACUCUCUACUGGUGCUGGGCAGAGCAGCGAGCCACAGCUCUUAGUCAGCGUAAACAACUGAUACUCCAUAGGGCACUGUGUUGCCAGGUGAUUUUGUCCAAAUGUAAGCUAACGUUAAGUGUUCUGAGCACAUUUAAGGUAGGCUAAGCUACGCUAUGAGGUUCGGUAGGUUAGGUGUAUUAAAAUUCCUUUUCUACUUGUGAUGUUUUCAGCUUGCAAGGGGUCUGUCGGGAUGUGUCCCCAUCGUAAGUAGAUGAACAUCUGUACUUUUAAAAUUAGUUUGCAUCCUCCUUGUUUCACUUACAUUAUAGUGUGAGUGUGUCUCCUGUCACUAAAUGUACUUUGAAAAAAUUGGCUGCCAAAUAUUCUAAAAUAUGGCCCUGGUUUACUAUUAUAAUUCACACAUUAUUUUUUUUUAAUUAAUAUACUUUUUUUUUUAAGUUUUAGGUUUACAGAGAA